rnacentral:misc_RNA from 1 species
GUACGAGGCUCCUAGCAUGGUGAUUGCUGGAGAACUAAAAUAAAGUACUAGUCAAAAAUAUCAGGGUGAUGUGGAAACCAUAUGCAAAAACUGUUACAGGUAGAAGUAACUUACGAUAGCAACUGGGAACGAAUAGAUUGGGAUACUGAGAGAGCCUUCUCCUUUCAUCAGCUUCAAUACUUUUAUUCAGUGAACUACAGUCAUUUUGGUAUGGUUACUGUACAGUUGUUCCAUGACAUAUCAUUCUUUUUCAGGUGACUUUUACAAAGUUAG